GACGAACGCUGGCGGCGUGCUUAACACAUGCAAGUCGAACGAUGAAGCCGGAGCUUGCUCUGGUGAAUUAGUGGCGAACGGGUGAGUAACACGUGAGUAACCCGCCCUUGACUCUGGGAUAACUGCUAGAAAUGGUAGCUAAUACCGGAUACGACCCUCGGAGGCAUCUUCAGGGGGUGGAAAGAAUUUCGGUCAAGGAUGGACUCGCGGCCUAUCAGCUAGUUGGUGAGGUAAUGGCUCACCAAGGCGACGACGGGUAGCCGGCCUGAGAGGGGGACCGGCCACACGGGGACUGAGACACGGCACAGACUCCUACGGGAGGCAGCAGUGGGGAAUAUUGCACAAUGGGCGCAAGCCUGAUGCAGCAACGCCGCGUGAGGGAUGACGGCCUUCGGGUUGUAAACCUCUUUUAGUAGGGAAGAAGCGAAAGUGACGGUACCUGCAGAAAAAGCACCGGCUAACUACGUGCCAGCAGCCGCCGUAA
rnacentral:rRNA from 1 species